AGAGUUUGAUCCUGGCUCAGAUUGAACGCUGGCGGAAUGCUUUACACAUGCAAGUCGAACGAUGAACCCUAGCUUGCUAGGGGGAUUAGUGGCGAACGGGUGAGUAAUAUAUCGGAACGUGCCUUGUAAUGGGGGAUAACUAGUCGAAAGAUUAGCUAAUACCGCAUACGCCCUGAGGGGGAAAGUAGGGGAUCUUCGGACCUUACGUUAUAAGAGCGGCCGAUAUCUGAUCAGCUAGUUGGUGGGGUAAUGGCCUACCAAGGCAUCGAUCAGUAGCUGGUCUGAGAGGACGACCAGCCACACUGGAACUGAGACACGGUCCAGACUCCUACGGGAGGCAGCAGUGGGGAAUUUUGGACAAUGGGCGCAAGCCUGAUCCAGCCAUUCCGCGUGAGUGAAGAAGGCCUUCGGGUUGUAAAGCUCUUUCGCAAGGGAAGAAAACUUACAGUGCCAGCAGCCGCGGUAAUACGUAGGGUGCGAGCGUUAAUCGGAAUUACUGGGCGUAAAGCGUGCGCAGGCGGUUUGGCAAGUCAGAUGUGAAAUCCCCGAGCUCAACUUGGGAACUGCGUUUGAAACUGCCAGACUAGAAUAUGUCAGAGGGGGGUAGAAUUCCACGUGUAGCAGUGAAAUGCGUAGAGAUGUGGAGGAAUACCAAUGGCGAAGGCAGCCCCCUGGGAUAAUAUUGACGCUCAUGCACGAAAGCGUGGGGAGCAAACAGGAUUAGAUACCCUGGUAGUCCACGCCCUAAACGAUGUCUACUAGUUGUUGGGUGGGAGUAAAAUCCAUGAGUAACGCAGCUAACGCGUGAAGUA
rnacentral:rRNA from 1 species